CGACGCUGGCGGCGUGCCUAAUACAUGCAAGUAGAACGCUGAAGAGAGGAGCUUGCUCUUCUUGGAUGAGUUGCGAACGGGUGAGUAACGCGUAGGUAACCUGCCUUGUAGCGGGGGAUAACUAUUGGAAACGAUAGCUAAUACCGCAUAACAAUGGAUGACACAUGUCAUUUAUUUGAAAGGGGCAAUUGCUCCACUACAAGAUGGACCUGCGUUGUAUUAGCUAGUAGGUGAGGUAAUGGCUCACCUAGGCGACGAUACAUAGCCGACCUGAGAGGGUGAUCGGCCACACUGGGACUGAGACACGGCCCAGACUCCUACGGGAGGCAGCAGUAGGGAAUCUUCGGCAAUGGGGGCAACCCUGACCGAGCAACGCCGCGUGAGUGAAGAAGGUUUUCGGAUCGUAAAGCUCUGUUGUAAGUCAAGAACGGGUGUGAGAGUGGAAAGUUCACACUGUGACGGUAGCUUACCAGAAAGGGACGGCUAACUACGUGCCAGCAGCCGCGGUAAUACGUAGGUCCCGAGCGUUGUCCGGAUUUAUUGGGCGUAAAGCGAGCGCAGGCGGUUUGAUAAGUCUGAAGUUAAAGGCUGUGGCUCAACCAUAGUUCGCUUUGGAAACUGUCAAACUUGAGUGCAGAAGGGGAGAGUGGAAUUCCAUGUGUAGCGGUGAAAUGCGUAGAUAUAUGGAGGAACACCGGUGGCGAAAGCGGCUCUCUGGUCUGUAACUGACGCUGAGGCUCGAAAGCGUGGGGAGCGAACAGGAUUAGAUACCCUGGUAGUCCACGCCGUAAACGAUGAGUGCUAGGUGUUGGAUCCUUUCCGGGAUUCAGUGCCGCAGCUAACGCAUUAAGCACUCCGCCUGGGGAGUACGACCGCAAGGUUGAAACUCAAAGGAAUUGACGGGGGCCCGCACAAGCGGUGGAGCAUGUGGUUUAAUUCGAAGCAACGCGAAGAACCUUACCAGGUCUUGACAUCCCGAUGCUAUUUCUAGAGAUAGAAAGUUACUUCGGUACAUCGGUGACAGGUGGUGCAUGGUUGUCGUCAGCUCGUGUCGUGAGAUGUUGGGUUAAGUCCCGCAACGAGCGCAACCCCUAUUGUUAGUUGCCAUCAUUCAGUUGGGCACUCUAGCGAGACUGCCGGUAAUAAACCGGAGGAAGGUGGGGAUGACGUCAAAUCAUCAUGCCCCUUAUGACCUGGGCUACACACGUGCUACAAUGGUUGGUACAACGAGUUGCGAGUCGGUGACGGCGAGCUAAUCUCUUAAAGCCAAUCUCAGUUCGGAUUGUAGGCUGCAACUCGCCUACAUGAAGUCGGAAUCGCUAGUAAUCGCGGAUCAGCACGCCGCGGUGAAUACGUUCCCGGGCCUUGUACACACCGCCCGUCACACCACGAGAGUUUGUAACACCCGAAGUCGGUGAGGUAACCUUUUGGAGCCAGCCGCCUAAGGUGGGACAGAUGAUUGGGGUGAAGU
rnacentral:rRNA from 1 species